rnacentral:pre_miRNA from 1 species
UAUAAGGGAUUUUGAGUUUUUGCUUGCAACGUUUGACCACUCGUUUUAUUCAAAAUAUUUUGUAAUUAUUAUUUAUUUUAUUUGUGACUUACUUUAUUAUCUAUAGUACUUUAAGCACAACUUUUUGUUUUUUAUAUUUGCAAAAAAAAAUUUGAAUAAGACAAGUGGUCAAACGUUGCAAGCAAAAACUCAAAAUCCCUUAUA